UGAGGAAUAUUGGUCAAUGGACGGAAGUCUGAACCAGCCAAGUAGCGUGCAGGAUGACGGCCCUAUGGGUUGUAAACUGCUUUUAUACGGGGAUAAAGUUAGGGACGUGUCCCUAUUUGCAGGUACCGUAUGAAUAAGGACCGGCUAAUUCCGUGCCAGCAGCCGCGGUAAUACGGAAGGUCCGGGCGUUAUCCGGAUUUAUUGGGUUUAAAGGGAGCGUAGGCUGUCUAUUAAGCGUGUUGUGAAAUUUACCGGCUCAACCGGUGGCUUGCAGCGCGAACUGGUCGACUUGAGUAUGCAGGAAGUAGGCGGAAUUCAUGGUGUAGCGAUGAAAUGCUUAGAUAUCAUGACGAACUCCGAUUGCGCAGGCAGCUUACUGUAGCAUAACUGACGCUGAUGCUCGAAAGUGCGGGUAUCAAACAGG
rnacentral:rRNA from 1 species